UACGUAGGGUGCGAGCGUUGUCCGGAAUUAUUGGGCGUAAAGGGCUCGUAGGCGGUUUGUCGCGUCGGGAGUGAAAACACCGGGCUUAACUCGGUGCUUGCUUUCGAUACGGGCAGACUAGAGGUAUGCAGGGGAGAACGGAAUUCCUGGUGUAGCGGUGAAAUGCGUAGAUAUCAAGAGGAACACCUGAGGUGAAGACGGGUUGCUGGGCUGACACUGACGCUGAGGCGCGAAAGCCAGGGGAGCAAACGGG
rnacentral:rRNA from 1 species